rnacentral:siRNA from 1 species
UGGACUGCCUGGUCUCCUCU